rnacentral:rRNA from 1 species
UACGGGGGGGGCAAGCGUUGUUCGGAAUUACUGGGCGUAAAGGGCUUGUAGGUGGCCAACUAAGUCAGACGUGAAAUCCCUCAGCUUAACUGGGGAACUGCGUCUGAUACUGGAUGGCUAGAGUUUGGGAGAGGGAUGCGGAAUUCCAGGUGUAGCGGUGAAAUGCGUAGAUAUCUGGAGGAACACCGGUGGCGAAGGCGGCAUCCUGGACCAACACUGACACUGAGGAGCGAAAGCCAGGGGAGCAAACGGG